rnacentral:rRNA from 1 species
AGUGAACGCUGGCGGUAGGCCUAACACAUGCAAGUCGAACGGCAGCACAGUAAGAGCUUGCUCUUACGGGUGGCGAGUGGCGGACGGGUGAGGAAUACAUCGGAAUCUACUUUUUCGUGGGGGAUAACGUAGGGAAACUUACGCUAAUACCGCAUACGACCUACGGGUGAAAGCAGGGGAUCUUCGGACCUUGCGCGAUUGAAUGAGCCGAUGUCGGAUUAGCUAGUUGGCGGGGUAAAGGCCAACCAAGGCGACGAUCCGUAGCUGGUCUGAGAGGAUGAUCAGCCACACUGGAACUGAGACACGGUCCAGACUCCUACGGGAGGCAGCAGUGGGGAAUAUUGGACAAUGGGCGAAAGCCUGAUCCAGCCAUACCGCGUGGGUGAAGAAGGCCUUCGGGUUGUAAAGCCCUUUUGUUGGGAAAGAAAAGCAGCAGGUUAAUACCCCGCUGUUCUGACGGUACCCAAAGAAUAAGCACCGGCUAACUUCGU